rnacentral:rRNA from 1 species
CCCUUUGAUACUCUGGGCGGUACGCGCGCUACACUGGUUUAUAUAACGUGUAAUUUGGACGAUAGUCUGUAUAAAUCACUAAUAUAAAACCGUGAAUGGGAUAGUUUAUUGCAACUUACAAACUUUAACUAGGAAUCCCUUGUAGAAGUAGUGGAUUAUACUGCUUCGAAUACGUCCCUGCCGAUUGUACACACCGCCCGUCGUUUCUUCCGACUGGUACUCAUUGUGAAUUGCGAGGAGAUUCUGUCAAAUCGUUGUAAAUGCUGGGUAUUGGAGGAAGAAAAAGUCGUAACA